rnacentral:hammerhead_ribozyme from 1 species
AUCCAGCUGACCAGUCUCAAAUAGGACGAAAUGCGCGUCCUGGAU